GUUUUUUUACAGUUUUCCUGCAACCAAAAAGAUAACGUGUCUGAUGAUUUAAUGAAGGAGCAACGUUAAGAUGGAUAAUGGCUUUUAGUGGUUAAAUAUUUCCCAAGAUAGGCACUUCAUAUACCGUAAACUUAAUUGGGUGUUGGGCAUUAAUCGUAGCAGACUUGGGAAUGCUGAAGUUCCUGAAAGAAUUCCUUUCCUUAAGCCUGCUCUGCUAGUUAUUAUUAUUCUUUUGGAGAGUUUAUCCGGUAAUUGUGGGAGAGAGCAUUGGAGUCCAUCUCGGCCCUAAUGAAAAAGUCUACUGUAAUACAGAUAUUGCUGGACUUCUUUGUUCGCUAUUGAGUUUUUACCUUCGACGAUUUUGCAGUGAAUAAGAUUGAUCGGUAAUCAAGAAAGAAAGAGAGAGAGAACACUGGAGUUCAUUGUGACCCUAUUAAAGAAGUCUACUGUGAUGCAAUUCUUCCUGGACUUUUACACGUUCUCUGUUGAUCUUCCACAUGGACGAUUUUGCAGUAAAUUAAGGUGAGAAUACUUAUAUAUAUCUUCAGAUAACUUCAAUUUCUUAGACAUUUAUAACUUGCU